GUGGAGUUGCGAAGACAACCAGGAGGUUGGCUUAGAAGCAGCCAUCCUUGAAAGAGUGCGUAAUAGCUCACUGGUCAAGUGAUUCCGCGCCGACAAUGUAGCGGGGCUCAAGUACACCGCCGAAGUUGUGGCAUUCACAUAAUACCCAAGCCGGAGACUUGUUCUUUUGGUUCAGGGGUGUGGAUGGGUAGGGGAGCGUCGUGUGGGCAGUGAAGCCGCGGUGGAAACCAGCGGUGGAGCCCACACGAGUGAGAAUGCAGGCAUGAGUAGCGAAAGACGGGUGAGAAACCCGUCCGCCGAAUGAUCAAGGGUUCCAGGGUCAAGCUAAUCUGCCCUGGGUAAGUCGGGACCUAAGGCGAGGCCGACAGGCGUAGUCGAUGGACAACGGGUUGAUAUUCCCGUACCGGCGAAGAACCGUCCAUACCGAGCAGGGGAUACUAACCGUGCCAGACACCACCGUUUACUCCUUCGGGAGUGGGCAUCGGUGCGCGGCGCGGGAUACUGAGCCUGGGAGGUAAGCGUAUUAACAGGUGUGACGCAGGAAGGUAGCCGGGCCGGGCGAUGGUUGUCCUGGUCCAAGGAUGUAGGGCGAACGGUAGGCAAAUCCGCCGUUCUUGUGCCUGAGAUCUGAUGGGACCCCCGUAUGGGGGAAUCCGGUGAUCCUAUGCUGCCGAGAAAAGCAUCGACGUGAGGUUCCAGCCGCCCGUACCCCAAACCGACACAGGUGAUCAGGUAGAGAAUACUAAGGCGAUCGAGAGAAUUAUGGUUAAGGAACUCGGCAAAAUGCCCCCGUAACUUCGGGAGAAGGGGGGCCUGCCCCGUGAUGAAGACUUGCUCUUCUACAGCGGGUGUGGGCCGCAGAGACCAGGGGGAAGCGACUGUUUACUAAAAACACAGGUCCGUGCGAAGUCGCAAGACGAUGUAUACGGACUGACUCCUGCCCGGUGCUGGAAGGUUAAGAGGACCGGUUAGCCCCUUGUGGGCGAAGCUGGGAAUUUAAGCCCCAGUAAACGGCGGUGGUAACUAUAACCAUCCUAAGGUAGCGAAAUUCCUUGUCGGGUAAGUUCCGACCUGCACGAAUGGAGUAACGACUUCCCCGCUGUCUCAACCAUAAACUCGGCGAAAUUGCAGUACGAGUAAAGAUGCUCGUUACGCGCAGCAGGACGGAAAGACCCCGAGACCUUUACUAUAGUUUGGUAUUGGUGUUCGGUGUGGCUUGUGUAGGAUAGGUGGGAGACUUUGAGGCCGGCACGCCAGUGUCGGUGGAGUCAUCGUUGAAAUACCACUCUGGUCACUCUGGACAUCUAACUUCGGCCCGUAAUCCGGGUCAGGGACAGUGCCUGAUGGGUAGUUUAACUGGGGCGGUUGCCUCCUAAAGAGUAACGGAGGCGCCCAAAGGUUCCCUCAGCCUGGUUGGCAAUCAGGUGGCGAGUGUAAGUGCACAAGGGAGCUUGACUGUGAGAGCGACAGCUCAAGCAGGGACGAAAGUCGGGACUAGUGAUCCGGCGGCACAUUGUGGAAUGGCCGUCGCUCAACGGAUAAAAGGUACC
rnacentral:rRNA from 1 species